rnacentral:rRNA from 1 species
UACGAAGGGGGCUAGCGUUGCUCGGAAUGACUGGGCGUAAAGGGCGCGUAGGCGGCUUGCACCGUCAGAUGUGAAAUUCCUGGGCUUAACCUGGGGGCUGCAUUUGAUACGUGUGGGCUUGAGUGCGGAAGAGGGUCGUGGAAUUCCCAGUGUAGAGGUGAAAUUCGUAGAUAUCGAGAGGAACACCUGCGGCGAAGGCGGGUUGCUGGGCUGAUACUGGCGCUGAUGCGCGAAAGCCAGGGGAGCGAACGGG